GUUACCGUCCAGUCGCUGUCCGGCUCGCCAUCACCGGUGUCUCACCGCCGUCACUAUGGAGACCAAACGCCGUUGAGCUUCUUGCUGCUGCCUUGGAGUCCGUCGUCAGGUUCGAGUUGAAGAAAGAGGGAGGCAUAGAUUCAACAUCGCGUAGAGAGGGAUUUGUUGUUGUCGUUGCGCGCCGUCGUGUGCUGUCGCUGUUGUUCGAGCCAUCGCCAUCGCCGUGGGUGAAGUUCGCCGCUGGUGCCAGUUGAGGCCGCUGCUAUUGAACAGAGAUGAGAGAGUGACGUUGGGAGGAAACUGUGAGCUGCAAGCCGCUGACCGAGAAGAAGCUCUGCCUUUGUCGCCGUGUUAGAGUCGUCGUUGCCAACGCUGCGCACCGCCGUUAGCGCUGCCGUUGAAGGGAGCUCGCCAUCACAGUUCAAUCAUCAUUGAGCUUGAAGGGAGGCGUCACUGAUAUACCCAACAGCAGCUUCCCCUGCAUUCCCAAUUCCAUUCUUGAAACUUAUUAUCAUCUUUAUCCGGAACCACUGAUGUUACCGCUACGGGGGUGAUUGGGAUAGGCUCGAUUGUCAUUGUUGUUGCUGCCCCAGAAGAAGUGAGGCUGCUGCUGCUGUUCCGGCCGCAUUGGCUGUUGUAAACUGGAAAAAAGAAGGGCAUCAUUGCGUUUAAAUUCGACGGCUUCGACUAAUUGAGGAUAAUUUUUUUGGACUCGUAAAGACAAAAGGAGUUGAUUAGUUGUUGUGGCACCCUGUAUAAGAUGGGAUAGGUCUUAUAAUGAGUUUGGUUAUCUAAAUGUAUUAUUUUGAUGUGUUCUUUACUUUUUGAUAAGAGACUUUAUCCGAUAUUAUAUGUAAUGGAUAAAUUACACUCUAUUUUGAUUAGUGUUGUAAUGAAUAUCUAAUUUUUAAUGAAACUUUUAUGAUUUGGAUUUA